rnacentral:rRNA from 1 species
AUACGUAGGGGGCGAGCGUUAUCCGGAAUUAUUGGGCGUAAAGAGUACGUAGGUGGUUUCCUAAGCGAGGGGUUUAAGGCACUGGCUUAACCAAUGUUCGCCCCCCGAACUGGGGAACUUGAGUGCUGGAGAGGAAAGCGGAAUUCCUAGUGUAGCGGUGAAAUGCGUAGAUAUUAGGAGGAGCACCAGUGGCGAAGGCGGCUUUCUGGACAGUAACUGACACUGAGGUACGAAAGUGUGGGGAGCAAACAGGAUUAGAUACCCUGGUAGUCCACGCCGUAAACGAUGAGCACUAGGUGUCGGGCUCGCAAGAGUUCGGUGCCGCAGUUAACGCAUUAAGUGCUCCGCCUGGGGAGUACGUACGCAAGUAUGAAACUCAAAUGAAUUGACGGGG